CGGGGAGCCCGCCGCGCCGGGCUGAGAUGGGAGGACGACCGCUUCCCCGACCCUUGGAACCUGAUGCGGGUCAUGCCGCCGUAGGGA
rnacentral:ncRNA from 2 species